rnacentral:rRNA from 1 species
CAGCCGCCGCGGUAAUACGAAGGGUGCAAGCGUUAAUCGGAAUUACUGGGCGUAAAGCAUGCGUAGGCGGUUUGUUAAGUCUGUUGUGAAAUCCCCGGGCUCAACCUGGGAAUGGCAAUGGAUACUGGCAAGCUAGAGUGUGUCAGAGGAUGGUGGAAUUCCCGGUGUAGCGGUGAAAUGCGUAGAGAUCGGGAGGAACAUCAGUGGCGAAGGCGGCCAUCUGGGACAACACUGACGCUGAGGCACGGAAGCGUGGGGAGCAAACAGGAUUAGAUACCCCCGUAGUCCCUGUCUCUUAUAC